GACGAACGCUGGCGGCGUGCUUAACACAUGCAAGUCGAACGGAAAGGCCCUGCUUUUGUGGGGUGCUCGAGUGGCGAACGGGUGAGUAACACGUGAGUAACCUGCCCUUGACUUUGGGAUAACUUCAGGAAACUGGGGCUAAUACCGGAUAGGAGCUCCUGCUGCAUGGUGGGGGUUGGAACGUUUCGGCGGUUGGGGAUGGACUCGCGGCUUAUCAGCUUGUUGGUGGGGUAGUGGCUUACCAAGGCUUUGACGGGUAGCCGGCCUGAGAGGGUGACCGGCCACAUUGGGACUGAGAUACGGCCCAGACUCCUACGGGAGGCAGCAGUGGGGAAUAUUGCACAAUGGGCGGAAGCCUGAUGCAGCAACGCCGCGUGCGGGAUGACGGCCUUCAGGUUGUAAACCGCUUUCGCCUGUGACGAAGCGUGAGUGACGGUAAUGGGUAAAGAAGCACCGGCUAACUACGUG
rnacentral:rRNA from 1 species